UACGUAGGGUGCAAGCGUUGUCCGGAAUUAUUGGGCGUAAAGAGCUCGUAGGCGGUCUGUCACGUCGGAUGUGAAAACUCGGGGCUCAACCCCGAGCCUGCAUUCGAUACGGGCAGACUUGAGUUCGGCAGGGGAGACUGGAAUUCCUGGUGUAGCGGUGAAAUGCGCAGAUAUCAGGAGGAACACCGGUGGCGAAGGCGGUUCUCUGGGCAUGACCUGACGCUGAGGAGCGAAAGUGUGGGGAGCGAACAGG
rnacentral:rRNA from 1 species